UCGAAACACUUGUUCUCGUGCGAUCAGCGAAGUUAAGCAACGUCGAGCUUGGUCAGUACCUAGAUCACCGACCGCUUGGGAAUACCAGGUGCUGUAA